GCGGACGUGGUGGAAUAGGUAGACACAAGAGACUUAAAAUCUCUCGGAGGUAACUCCGUGCCGGUUCGAGUCCGGCCGUCCGCACCA
rnacentral:tRNA from 3 species